rnacentral:rRNA from 1 species
UACGUAGGGUGCGAGCGUUGUCCGGAAUUAUUGGGCGUAAAGAGCUCGUAGGCGGCUUGUCGCGUCGGAUGUGAAAGCCCGGGGCUUAGCUCCGGGUCUGCAUUCGAUACGGGCAGGCUAGAGUUCGGUAGGGGAGAUCGGAAUUCCUGGUGUAGCGGUGAAAUGCGCAGAUAUCAGGAGGAACACCAAUGGCGAAGGCAGCUCACUGGGACGUUACUGACGCUGAGACGCGAAAGCGUGGGGAGCAAACAGG